rnacentral:tRNA from 1 species
GCCUGGGUGGCUUGGUUGGUUAAGCGUCUGACUUCGGCUCAGGUCAUGAUCUCACAGUCCAUGGGUUCGAGCCCCUCAUCGGGCU